AGUGAACGCUGGCGGCAGGCCUAACACAUGCAAGUCGAACGGCAGCAUGGAAAGUACUUGUACUUUCUGAUGGCGAGUGGCGGACGGGUGAGGAAUGCAUCGGAAUCUGCCCAUUUGCGGGGGAUAACGUAGGGAAACUUACGCUAAUACCGCAUACGACCUUCGGGUGAAAGCAGGGGAUCUUCGGACCUUGCGCAGAUGGAUGAGCCGAUGCCGGAUUAGCUAGUUGGCGGGGUAAAGGCCCACCAAGGCGACGAUCCGUAGCUGGUCUGAGAGGAUGAUCAGCCACACUGGAACUGUGACACGGUCCAGACUCCUACGGGAGGCAGCAGUGGGGAAUAUUGGACAAUGGGCGCAAGCCUGAUCCAGCCAUGCCGCGUGUGUGAAGAAGGCCUUCGGGUUGUAAAGCACUUUUGUUGGGGAAGAAAAGCAAUUGGUUAAUACCCGGUUGUCAUGACGGUACCCAAAGAAUAAGCACCGGCUAACUUCGUGCCAGCCGCCGCCGUAACAC
rnacentral:rRNA from 1 species